UCUCCCCAAAUUUCUUCAUAUCUACAAAAUUCUCUCUCAAUUCUUCUGGGUUUCGAAGAUGAUUGAGGUGGUUCUCAACGAUCGUCUAGGGAAGAAGGUCCGGGUGAAGUGCAACGAGGACGACACGAUCGGCGACUUGAAGAAGCUCGUUGCCGCUCAGACCGGAACCAGGGCCGAGAAGAUCAGGAUCCAGAAGUGGUACAAUAUCUACAAGGAUCACAUCACCCUCAAGGAUUACGAGAUCCAUGAUGGCAUGGGUCUCGAGCUCUAUUACAACUGAUUCCACGUCGUUUUUUUGUUGGAUUUUAGGAUUCAUUGACGUGAUUAAGAGGAUGCGUAUGUUCUUAGAGGUCGUAAGGAAUUCAGGUCUACCUCUAAAACGAGCGAUCGGAUAUGAGUUCGAUGGGAUGUGGUGUAGGGUUGACAUCGCAGUAAUAUGACGGAGGUCUUAAAACGCCAUGAGAAGCCCUUGUUUCCUAAGGAUCCUGCUCUCAUUCUUUUAUUUCUGGUCCAUUGGAAUAUAGAAUCAGUUACUAGUUUGAAAAUCAUAGUAUUUCCUCUGAUAUAUGGAUGUUUUCUAUCUCCGAGGUUUGGAAUCCUUUGGAAGACGAGUAUUGGGGGGCACUCAGUGCGAGUUUUAUAUUACUGAACAGGCCUCGACAUGUAAAUCUUUGUUCUGCUUAGCGAACGCUACACUCAAUGUUUUGAUGUCUAUAACCUGUUAUGGAAUUAGCUACCCUGUGGAUGACGACGUCUCCUAAAGUAUCGGUUGUUUCUUUCUAAAGGGAGUUGUUUAUUUUCAGAAACCUACUUUAAUCUUAACCGAUAUUUGAUUUGCUGUUCUUGAUUCAUUGUUAAUUGACUUCCUUAUUGUAGGAUGCUUCUUCCUUUUUCCCAUCUUCUCCAACUCUUUAAGUGAGUCAGGAGCUUUUAUUUUAAAGUUGAUGCUUAGUUGUGUAGACAUGCUGCCUUGCCCUAUUGUUCCUUUGCUUAGUGGGUGCCAGGAUUAUGCAUAAUUUUCCAUUCCAAGCACAGAUGGUACAGUGUUCCCUUCGUCAAAAUUUCAGACGAGGAAGGGGAUGAGAAGUCAUCCACUACUGUAGACAUCUUUCAUUUGUGGGUCAUCUGAUGCGAGUUGAAGAACAAUCUUUUAGUCUCGUGGUUUAUCAGUAUAGUUGAUGGUGCAUUGCAUGUUAUUGAACUGAUGGAAUUUGAGGAGUGAUGUAGAGCUUUUUGCCUGUCAAAUCUUAUCCCAAGCUUGUUGAACUCACCAGCAUGGGUUUGUUGAUUUCAAAAGUGAAGAAUUCAUGGGGUUUUAGAUGUCUUGUGGCAUUGCACUUAGAGCAUGCCAUUGCUUGCACAAUAAGAUGGAUUCAGUAUCUAUCUGCCUCAGCUACUGAUCAAUCCCAAAUUUGUUUCUGGAACAACCAUUUUCAAGACUGUUCAGUUUCUAGUUGAUCAAUUGCAGUCUUAGAAAGUGAGCGUUUGGGGAGGAUAUUAGAUGUUUCAUUAAAUUAAGUGUGCUGUGUGUGUAAAUUAAAAUCACCUAUUGCUGUUAUAGAUAGAUUGGUAGCUAAAAGUUUUAAGUAUUUGAAUCCUUAUCUACAUAGGAACUCCGUUCACUCCAUUCAAUCAAGAAGCAAUUGAGUUGAAUA